GUAAAGUUUUAUUCUUGCUUUUUCGUUCAGUUUAUGUUUGUUCUAUAUGUAAGUUUUUGCGUGAUUUUAUUUAGGCCUAGAUGGUUUUGAAUAUAAUUUGUUUUUUCUCAUUAGUUAUUAUUAAUUAAUCAAGGGUUCUUGUAUUUAGUAAUACAUUUAGUUUCGGUUAAAUUUUGUGCCAGCAGCCGCGGUUAUACUUUGGAGGCUAUUGAAUGUGUUCGGCAUAGGUAGUUUUAUUAUUAAAUUUUUAUGAUUUUUUUUUAUUUGUUGUUAGGUGAAAUUUUUAUUUUUAUUAAUUUUUUUUGUUGUUUUGGAGGCUAUUAAAUUCUUUUUAUAAACUAGGAUUAGAUACCCUAUUAUUUUUGAAUGUAAAUUUUUGUGUCUGAGUAGUAUUAGUUAUGUUCUUGAAACUUAAAGAAUUUGGCGGUAUCUCAUUCCGUCCAGAGGAAUCUGUCUCGUUAUCGAUAGUCCACGUUGGAUCUUACUUAGUUUGGUUUGGUUUGUAUACCGCCGUAUAUUGAUUAUCUUUUUAGAGUUAUUAAUUUUCUUGUUUCUUUAUUUUGAUUAAUUUCAGGUCAAGGUGCAGCUUGUUUCUAAGUGUAUGAUGGAUUACAUUGUUAUUUGUUUUUAUUGAAUUGUUGAUUUUGAUAUUAACAUGAAAUUGGAUUUGGUUGUAAUUAUUUGUAGAUUGUUAUUUUGAUAAUAGGCUCUGAGAUAUGUACACAUCGCCCGUCGCUCUCGUUUAUUUGUUAAUGAGAUAAGUCGUAACAGAGUGGUUGUACCGGAAGGUGCGGCUGGAUUGUU
rnacentral:ncRNA from 1 species